UUUAAUGAGGGUGGAGAGGACCAGCAUGAGACGGAUGUGACGUCUGUUGGCUUCUAUGCUAGGUGCAUCAGCCGCAAUAUAAAAAAUCUCUACGUGCAUGACAACGAGGAUCAUGCUACGGAGAUGGAUCACAGAUGGUUACCACUAGACGUGCAGUAUCGUGCAUCGGAAGUAGAUUUUAGGACAGUGCAUCCGUAGUCGUCUCCUCCUCGUCCGAUCUACCUCGAACGCCGAUCGUCGGGUCCCACGUACAAGGUUCGUCUGAGCGGCGCAAAUGCACCACCUAUAAUGGUAUCCACGCGUGCGGAAGGGACACCGUGCGACGGACUGCUAGGUCCGAUCACAUAGUUGACGACGAGUGGAGGUGGCUACUUGCAAUACAUGUAAAUCCCUAAUGAUGGUGCCGAAGUGAUGAGCUGAAUGAGUAUGCCGCACCUCCACUAUAUAUAGGCAUCCGUCGUGGGCUCGACUCUUGGGCCU
rnacentral:lncRNA from 1 species